rnacentral:rRNA from 1 species
UGGUCAAGUUAUUAAGGGUGCAGGGCGGAUGCCUUGGCACUAGGAGCCGAUGAAGGACGUGAUAAGCUGCGAUAAGCUUCGGGGAGUUGCACGUAAACUUUGAUCCGAAGAUUUCCGAAUGAGGAAACUCACUUAGAGUAAUGUCUAAGUAUCAUUAAGUGAAUACAUAGCUUAAUGAGGGGAACUCAGGGAACUGAAACAUCUAAGUACCUGAAGGAAGAGAAAGAAAUUCGAUUCCGUAAGUAGCGGCGAGCGAACGCGGAUUAGCCCAAACCAAUAAAGUUUUCUUUAUUGGGGUUGCGGACAUAUCAUAACGAAGAGGUAUCGUAAUUGAAGAGGUUUGGAAAGACCCACCACAGAAGGUAAUAGUCCUGUAUGUUAAACGAGAAGACUUUAGAUAUGAUCCAGAGUACCACGGGACACGUGAAACCCUGUGGGAAGCAGGAGGGACCACCCUCCAAGGCUAAAUACUACCUAGUGACCGAUAGCGUAUAGUACCGUGAGGGAAAGGUGAAAAGAACCCCGGGAGGGGAGUGAAAUAGAACCUGAAACCCUGCACUUACAAGCUGUGGAAGCACAUUUCUUGUGUGACCGCGUACUUUUUGUAGAACGGGCCAACGAGUUACGUUAAGUAGCAAGGUUAAGCACUUAAGGUGCGGAGCCGUAGCGAAAGCGAGUUUUAACUGAGCGUUCAGUUACUUGACGUAGACCCGAAACCGGGCGACCUACCCAUGAGCAGGAUGAAGCGAAAGUAAAAUUUCGUGGAGGUCCGAACCCACGAGCGUUGAAAAGCUCGGGGAUGACUUGUGGGUAGCGGUGAAAUUCCAAUCGAGCCCGGAGAUAGCUGGUUCUCCCCGAAAUAGCUUUAGGGCUAGCCUCAAGGUGAGAGAUACGGAGGUAGAGCACUGAAUGUCCUAGGGGGUAUUGCACCUACCGAAGACUAUCAAACUCCGAAUGCCGUCAUCUUAUACUUGGGAGUCAGACUGUGGGUGAUAAGAUUCAUAGUCGAAAGGGCAACAGCCCAGAUCGUCAGCUAAGGUCCCUAAAUGUAAGUUAAGUGGUAAAGGAUGUGGGAUUGCACAGACAACCAGGAUGUUGGCUUAGAAGCAGCCACUCAUUCAAAGAGUGCGUAAUAGCUCACUGGUCGAGUGAUCCUGCGCCGAAGAUUUCCGGGGCUAAAACUUACUACCGAAGCUACGGCAUCAGUAAUGAUGGGUAGGGGAGCUUCCCAUACGGGUUGAAGCAUGACCGUAAGGACAUG